AUGUCGGGGUCGGGCGAGAUGGCGCCGGCAGCCCGCCAGAGCCGCCGCCGGCGCGUCAUCAUCUGUGCCAGCUUCGCCGUGCUCGUCCUGCUCCUCCUGGCUGCCGUGGCCGCCAUCGUCCUGCUGGCGGUCCUCCGCCCGCGGGACCCGACUACGGAGCUCCUGUCCGCGAACGCCACCGGCGCCGCCCCGCGCGUGACGUUCCCCACCGUCUCCGUCCAGCUCAAUGUCACCUUCCUCCUCGUGGUGCGCGUGCGCAACCCGAACCCGGCCUCGUUCCGGUACGGCGAGGCCGCCACGACGCUCCUCUACCGGGGCGCCCCCGUGGGCAGCGCCGUCGUCCCUGCCGGCCCCGUGCCGAGCCGCGGCACAACGACCAUGCGGCUGGGCAUGAUGGUGCAGGCCGACAAGGUGGUUGAGGCGGCCGGGAUCGGGGGGCUGCUCGGCGACGUGCUCGCCGGGGAGAUGGAGUUCGAGGCGAGGACGGACGUGAAGGGCCGGGUGACGUUCCUCGGGUUCGUGAAGCGGAACGCCCAGGGGAGGUCGGCGUGCCGCAUCGCCAUCGGCGUCCCCGACGUCAAGGUCCGGCGGCAGGAGUGCCACAACGAGGCCAGGCUGUGA
rnacentral:rRNA from 1 species